rnacentral:rRNA from 1 species
CAGCAGCCGCGGUAAUACAGAGGGUGCGAGCGUUAAUCGGAUUACUGGGCGUAAAGCGUGCGUAGGCGGCUUUUUAAGUCGGAUGUGAAAUCCCUGAGCUUAACUUAGGAAUUGCAUUCGAUACUGGGAAGCUAGAGUAUGGGAGAGGAUGGUAGAAUUCCAGGUGUAGCGGUGAAAUGCGUAGAGAUCUGGAGGAAUACCGAUGGCGAAGGCAGCCAUCUGGCCUAAUACUGACGCUGAGGUACGAAAGCAUGGGGAGCAAACAGGAUUAGAUACCCCAGUAGUCCCUGUCUCUUAUACA